rnacentral:rRNA from 1 species
AUUGAACGCUGGCGGCAUGCCUUACACAUGCAAGUCGAACGGUAACAGGGCAACCUGGUGGCGAGUGGCGAACGGGUGAGUAAUGCAUCGGAACGUACCUUUCAGUGGGGGAUAACGUAGCGAAAGUUACGCUAAUACCGCAUAUUCUGUGAGCAGGAAAGCAGGGGAUCGCAAGACCUUGCGCUGAUUGAGCGGCCGAUGUCAGAUUAGCUAGUUGGUGAGGUAAAGGCUCACCAAGGCGACGAUCUGUAGCGGGUCUGAGAGGAUGAUCCGCCACACUGGAACUGAGACACGGUCCAGACUCCUACGGGAGGCAGCAGUGGGGAAUUUUGGACAAUGGGGGCAACCCUGAUCCAGCCAUGCCGCGUGAGUGAAGAAGGCCUUCGGGUUGUAAAGCUCUUUCGGCCGGGAAGAAAUCGCACGGGCUAAUACCCUGUGUGGAUGACGGUACCGGAAUAAGAAGCACCGGCUAACUACGUGCCAGCCGCCGCGGUAACAC